UACGGUAGGGGGCAAGCGUUGUCCGGAUUUAUUGGGCGUAAAGAGCUCGUAGGCGGUCUGUCGCGUCGAUCGUGAAAACUUGGGGCUUAACCCUGAGCUUGCGGUCGAUACGGGCAUGACUGGAGUUCGGCAGGGGAGACUGGAAUUCCUGGUGUAGCGGUGAAAUGCGCAGAUAUCAGGAGGAACACCGGUGGCGAAGGCGGGUCUCUGGGCCGAUACUGACGCUGAGGAGCGAAAGCGUGGGGAGCGAACAGG
rnacentral:rRNA from 1 species